CCGGCGACCGGCGCACGGGUGAGUAACACGUAUGCAACCUGGCCGUGACAGAUGGAUAACCGGGAGAAAUCCCGCCUAAUACAGCAUGACGCCGGGAAGGGACAUCCCUUUCCGGCCAAAGGGGGCGACUCCGGUCACGGAUGGGCAUGCGGCGCAUUAGGCAGUUGGUGGGGCAACGGCCCACCAAGCCGACGAUGCGUAGGGGUUCUGAGAGGAAGGUCCCCCACAUUGGAACUGAGACACGGUCCAAACUCCUACGGAAGGCAGCAG
rnacentral:rRNA from 1 species